rnacentral:rRNA from 1 species
GUCUACAGCCAUACCACCCUGAAUGUGCCCGAUCUCAUCUGGUCUCGGAACCUAAGCAGGGUCAGUUCUGGCUAGUACUUGGAUGGGAGGCCGCCUGGGAAUACGGGGUGCUGUAGGCU